CUGUGAUAUUUUUAAAAGUCCAAAAAUUGCCUCCCAAUAAUGACCUAAUAAUGUUUAAAUACUUAACACAAAACCCUAAUACGAAAUUAAGAAAAUAAUAAAAUCCUGAAAUAAUUAGAAUGCUGAUUUCGGGACUUAAACGAACUCGGAUGACUUCAAAAGCCUAUAGGUCACGGCGUAGUGAUGAGUUUGACUUGUUGGCACGUUCCGUUUCCAGAAAGGUAUUACAAUAAGCAAUCGGACUCCGGAGGCCCGAUUAGUAGAAAUCAUUUCAGGCUCUUUUGUCGAACUUCGUUAUCGAACUUAUCCGCUAACCUUCCUACGUCAGAGGGGUUAGGAUUGUGGCAUGUUGGUGAUUGGAAUGCUACUUUAUUGGGGAAGCAGUGUUGCGUAUUCAUUCGCAACCCUCUUUGCUGGUCAGUCAGGUUAUAUGUGGGAGAUAUGGGGGUUCACUGUUGUCUCUGGCUAUGCGUGGUUGUAGUCCCAAGGUGAUGCCUUGGGGAUGAGGGUUUUGUUAAAGGUUGGCCAGCGUUUUCAGGAAGCUUUAGGUCGAAGGACUGGUAAUGGCACUUUUACAUCCAUAACUCAUCCUCGUUGGGUUCAUGGUCAUGCAGGCCCGGCCCUGAGCCUUGUUUGGAGGGGCGGUGGCCCAGGGCCCAAGUUUAAAAAGGGCCCCAGUUGUAGAUUAAAAAAAAAGUCACUGGCAAUAAUUUUUUGAAGAGGAGCGUGAUUACAGAAGAAAGAGAAAGUAGAGAUUUUUAUAUUUUCCAUAAACGCUUCUUAAUCUCCUUUACUCUUCAGUUAUUCUCUCUCCUUCCAAGACCCAAAUUCAAUCUCCAUUAUUUUCUCUAACCACCAUUAAUAUCAUUGAAAUUUUUAUAUUUUCCAAAAUAUAGCUGUUAAACUCCUUUUAAAUAUAACAACGAGAUAUUUUUCUACAAUUUAACUAGGGGAAAAUUACAUUUAUAUAAUGCAUUACUCAUAAAUUUUACUUCCAAUCUAUUGAAAUUAUUAAGAAAUUUCGAAAUUAAGAUUUUUUUUCGUUAAUUCUUCAUCUUCUCCCCAUUACCAUGGUCAAAACAAUUCAGUAAACAAAAGCAACAAAAAUCUAUCUUCAAGUCAACGAUUUUUCCUUUUUUUUCUCCCUAAAAUUCUUGCAAAUUUCCCAUAUAAAUUGAACUUAUGAUGUUCUCCAUUUAUAAAAUUCAAAUUGACGAAAAACUUGAGUAAAAUAGCUCAGUUUGUUAAUGGGAUCUGCAGUCACAAGCAACAAUACUUGUGGGUACACCAAAGCAGGUUCUCGAAGAACGUGUGGCUCAGUUUGUGAUUAUCCUCUAGAGCAUAUGGUGUGCGCGAAACGAUAUGUUAUUCCGCCAUGUUGCUCCCUGUCCAACCCAUAUAAUGAAUUUGAUUAUGGAGAAUAUCCAUAGGUGGUCUCGGGUGACUUAUAAUUCGAAUAUAUGUUCUCCUCCACCUUCACGAGCUAUGUCAAAUUAUGUUUGUCUCUGGCGUUUCGGUUCUCCGCUUUCUUCCACUGUCGUCGUCCAAGUUAAUGGAGCUUGGAAAAGGGGCUGAGACAAGCGCCUGGACCUUGCGACUGUUGCAUGGUACUAUCCUUCUAUUGUCAAUCUUCGAAGGAUGCACUGCUUGUAUGCUAUUGAUCCUACUCAUGAUGAGCUUAAUUUUGCGAAAUAUUACUCCUUUCGUGUGUUUAUGGUGUUAUUUGAUGAAUUUCAAGUAUUGAGAACUUAAUUAGAGUAUGACUGGACAAGUUUGAGUAAUUAGGAGCGAUUAGAAGCAAACUACUGCAUAAGGAUCGAUUGUGUAUUUUAUAGUACAAGUUUGAAUGAAAGCAAAGUGGAAAAUCAGUAAAAAAGAAGAA